GUUUAUUCUUUAUGUAGGACUUUUGUUUUCUAAUUGCCUAAUGUCACUCAAUCUCCAAAGUUUUAAAUCCAAACUUUUAGAUUUAUAACUUAUGGACUUAAAAAUCCAUCAACAAGAAGUUAUUGAGAAAUGUUAACACUGAAGAGUAAUAUGAAAGGAAGAUUGCAGGAUGCUAAGUCAACCUAUACGAGAGAGGUAUCUAUGAAACAAAAAGAAAUCCUUUCUGAAGAAAUAAUAUUAUAUGAAACCUUCUGUUGGACAGAAUAAAGAGAAAUUGGGUGGGAAUAUUCUAGGCAAAGUGAGAAAAUGAGAAAAUUCCCAGUGAAGUGUGGAGCACAGGAUGUUCAAGGGACUACAGAAAGGAUGAUCUUUUGAUCAUCCAAAUACUAAUCAAAUUAUGGAUGAAAUGGCAUGGAA
rnacentral:lncRNA from 1 species